AUAAUCAUCGCGACUAGGGUUUGUGUUUCCGCCACUUCUCAGAGCCCUAAUCGCAGAGUUUUCAAGCAGAAGCGAAAAUGCCGUCGCACAAGACAUUCAUGAUAAAGAAGAAGCUGGCGAAGAAGCAGAGGCAGAACAGGCCAAUCCCCUACUGGAUCCGUAUGCGCACCGACAAUACGAUCCGCUACAACGCCAAGCGUCGCCAUUGGCGCCGUACCAAGCUCGGGUUUUGAGGAUACUGUCCACUUACUCGAUGCCAAAGCCUUAGAAAGCUUGUUCAUUUCCCUGUCAUUUUUGUUGAGUUUCGGAACUUGGUUUUUAGUUUUGAGUCAUUACUAUUGCCAUUACAGUGAUUAUUAACCUGUAAGACUUGAGAUUCAAUAUGAUGUUUGCUUCUUAAUUGGUAUUCAGUAAUCCAUUUUUGGUU